rnacentral:rRNA from 1 species
GACGAACGCUGGCGGCGUGCCUAACACAUGCAAGUCGAACGGAAAGGCCCUGCUUUUGUGGGGUUCUCGAGUGCCGAACGCGUGAGUAUCACGUGUGUAACCUGCCCUUGACUUUCGGGUAACUUCACGAAACUGGGGCUAAUAUCGGAUAGGAUCUCCUGCUGCAUGGUGGGCGUUGGAAAGUUUCGGCGGUUGGGGAUGGACUCGCGGCUUAUCAGCUUGUUGGUGGGGUAGUGGCUUACCCAGGCUUUGACGGGUAGGCGGCCUGGGAGCGUGACCGGCGACAUGGGGACUGAGAGACGGCCCAGACUCCAACGGGAGGCAGCGGGGGGGAGUAUUGCACAGUGGGCGGGAGCCUGAUGCGGCAGCGCCGCGUGCGGGAUGACGGCCUUCGGGUUGUGAACCGCUUUCGCCUGAGACGAAGCGUGAGUGACGGUAAUGGGUAAAGAAGCACCGGCUAACUACGUG